AUUGAACGCUGGCGGCAGGCCUAACACAUGCAAGUCGAACGAGUGGCGGACGGGUGAGUAAUGUCUGGGAAAAUGCACGAGGGAGGGGGAUAACUACUGGAAACGGUAGCUAAUACAGCAUAACAUAGGAUGUGCCCAGAUGGGAUUAGCUGGUAGGUGAGGUAACGGCUCACCUAGGCGACGAUCCCUAGCUGGUCUGAGAGGAUGACCAGCCACACGGGAACUGAUACCCGGUCCAGACUCCUACGGGAGGCAGCAGUGGGGAAUAUUGCACAAUGGGCGCAAGCCUGAUGCAGCCAUGCCGCUUGUAUGAAGAAGGCCUUCGGUUUGUAAAGUACUUUCAGCGGGGAGGCGUUACCCGCAGAAGAAGCACCGGCUAACUCCGUGCCAGCAGCCGCGGUAAUUC
rnacentral:rRNA from 1 species